UUUGAUCUUCUUAUACAUUCGUCGGGUGUAGAUGUUUCACCAUUUAAUUAAAAUUAAUGGUUGAAGUUGGUAAGGGUUGUGCUUGGUGCAUAUUACCCCUUCAUAAAAGAGUGUUGUCUUAAGACAUUGAUGUUGAUGUAUAGCUGCAUCCAAAUUUGAUGGUGUGAAAUUGGAGUGUUGAUUGCAACUAUGACAUGCUUUGUGCUUCAUUACAUGUUGUUUCAUGCUUGAUGUCAGGUCGUAUAGUUUCCUUAGACAAUUAGUCCAAGGUAGAAGUUCUUGUGUUAAUUAAGACCAAUAAUGGACCCAUGUUUUGAAUUGUGGUGCUAUAUGGGGUACCUUGGGUGUUUUGCUUGGAGUGGCAGAAUUCGAGGUCGAAUUCUUUUUAAGGGGGGUAGAGUGUAAUAUCCCAAAAAAAAUGUUGACCAAAAGUUAAUCUCUGGUGCGUGGAUGAGGUAAAGGGUUGUGGGCCAUUGGAUGCAAAGAUAGAAGUCAUCUGAGGCGUCGUUUCUUUCUCCCACAAAAACCCUAGGUGGCCACCCUUUUUUUCCCUUCACCCCCCCUCUUGGCCGCCACCCCCUUUUUCUCCCCCUUGGCUGGACGCCCCCUCCCCCUAUGGCAGCCACCCUCCAUUGCUUCCUCCCCCAAGAUCUCCCCCUACGCAGCAAGGAUCGAGAAAAGGAGGGGCACGUUGAAUUGAAGAGGAAGAGAGGAUCAAGGAGAUGUUCUUCCCCAUCUCCUCUUAAAGAUUUCUUGGGGAAACCCUAGGUAUGGAUGAGAUCCUUGUUCCUCCCUGUAAUUAUAGGCUUUUGGAGGUUGUGGAUCAUGGGAAUUAAAGGAUUAGAGGUUGGAUUUGAUGUGGGGUUAGGUUUUGAUCUCGAAUUUAGUUUUCUGCAGAAUGACAGAUUCGACAGUUUUUGUUCAUGCCAGUUUUCCGUGGUCUUAGUGGCCUCAAAAAAAUAAAAAGUCUAUGUAUGAGUCGUAGAUAAUUUGUAGAUCUUUCCGUGGCCGCGAAGAACACCUCAAUCGGACAUCCGACCAGAAAGUUAUUGCAGUUUUACUAUAGCAGUUUUUCAGUCUCAUAAUUCUGUGCAGAAUCUGUUCUCUUAAGAUUUAGGCAAUUUUAUCAACAUAAUUAAACUGUGGGUUGGUAAAACAAGUUGUAGAUAAUUUUAUAAGCUUUCCAGAUUGUUAAAGAGUGCAUUCAUAUGAUUUAUGAAACUCCAGUUAUGUUUGUUUUACUGUGGCUGUUCCUGUUUACCUGACAAAAAUGAGUGGGUCUGUUCACUGGUGGGUUUCAUCUAGUAAAUGGCCGAAUUGGCUCUUCCAACUAUGGAGACUUUUGUAGAGGGAUAAAAGUUCUUACUUCCAGAAGAAUUUCAUAAUUUUUGGUUCAGCAGUUUUGGAGAUAUCGAAUUUUAAAGUUAACCAUACUGCUGUCUAAAACAGAUUCAGUCAGUUAUCUUGUCAGAUGUUUUAGAACUUGUAGAUGGCAGAAUUUAAUUAUCUAUUGAAUACUGAAGUUGUAGAGUAUUUUGUGUAGAUACUCCUAGAGUAUUUGUUUGAUAUCACCGCUGUUUUAGUUUUAAAGAUACAAAAUUAACAAACAUCGUUGCUGUUGUAUGACAUGUGGUUUAGGGUGGGAGUCUUUCCACUGGGUCUUGGUUUCAAGUGUAGGAGUGUUUUGUUGAUUGAUGGCAAAUGUUUGUGAAAUAUGUGUACUAAGUUUUAUGCCCACUAGCAGGUGGCUACACUCCAGAUCAUGUCUAGUACAUUUCUUCUUCUUCGAUGAAGGCAAGUGAAUGUAGCGGUGGUUGCUUCCGUUCUGACCUGUUAUUUCUAUCGCCUACACUCUAAUAUUCAGAAGUAUCAGAUUCUCUCAUAAUUGGACUCUAUGGUGAUGCUUUACUUUCUUGCAUUAUACUGAUGCUCAAUCAUAUAUUGAUGAUGAUUAUGAUUUGAGUAUGACUCAUGAGAUUAAUUCACACCCCUGAAGGUAAAUGAAGUAUUAUUUGAGGUUGGUAUUGUAUCUGAAGGUAAAUGAAGUAUUAUUUGAGGUUUGUGUUGUAUCUGAAGGAAGUGAAGUUUAUUGAUAAAUGUAGCAUGCCAUAUACAUUGCAUGACUCAUUUGCAUAUGAAGUUUUGUCGUGACCUAUGGUCCGACCGUACCGGUACAACUUAACAUCGUACGUUGCCCGAGAAGGGGUACGAUGCGGCUUCAUACCCUCAGAGGUAUGAAGGCAGAAGACAUAUGCAUUGCAUUCAUAUGCAUUCAUUGAAGUGAUAUUUGCAGAUGAUGUGGUUUUAUACCCCCAGAGGUAUGAAGAUAGAGUACCUACACAUUGCAUUCCUAUGCAUACAUUGAAGUGAUAUUUGCAGGUAUUGUUGACGCAGGGAAGUGUUAUAGAACCUAUUGUGGUUGUUCGAGGAAAUGAGAUGGUAUUGGUUAUAGUGGGACUACUGAGUUCUAUAUCUACAAGCAUUUCUGAUUUUUAAUUGUGACUCUUUUAAAAUGUUGAUGAAUUCAAUUUGUGGUUUAAAUAUCUCGUCAGAACAAUUAGCUUGCUGAGAUGUUUCAUCUCACUCUUGCAUUACUCAAUGCAGGUGCUUGUUGCUCAUCAAGGGGAGUGGGAAGUAGCAGCACAUCCACCUUCAUUCUCAUAAUAAUGCUGCCCAGACGCAGCCAUGAUUUAAUUAGAAACUUCUUGUCAAAGGAUGUUUGUUUUUAACUAGUCGUGCGCACUGAUUAAUUCAGUUCAUGUUGUUAUGGUUGUCUUCCCAUUGCUAGCAGAUUAUUAAUGUCUUAUAUGUUUUCUUAUCAUGAUAUCUAUUUAUACUUUGUUGCUUCCCCUGUUUAUGCAAUUUUCAAAGGAGAUGCUGUUGAAAUUUUAUAUAUGAAUAUUAGAUGUGUAGUUUAGUAGCAUUCUGGGGUGUUUGUGGAUCCCGGGGUGUUACAAUCGGAGAGCUGCGACCAGAUCCGCUCUGGUUAAAUCCAAACCACCCGAUCUCGGAUGGACGCCCGAGAUCUAACGGCUGGGGGCGGACACAGGCGCGGUGGCGUCGCUCGGUCCUACGGCGAGAGCUCGCCGGAGAUGAGGGGACCGGCCACGGCGGGGCUCUAGAGGCUUGGGGCCUAGCUCGGGCGCGUUCAGGGCGGUCUGGCGGACUCGGCCAUGGGCAUCACACCGGCGCGGGAGCACCAGAGGGUGCUGCACACGACGAGGCAGGC
rnacentral:lncRNA from 1 species